rnacentral:tRNA from 1 species
GGGGCAGUAGUCUAGUGGUCAUCUCGCUCUCUCUUGUAAAGAGAGAGAGGUCGGUGGUUCGAAUCCAUCCUGCUCCA